UACGUAGGGACCGAGCGUUGUCCGGAUUCAUUGGGCGUAAAGAGCUCGUAGGCGGCCACUCAAGUCGAAUGUGAAACCUCGAGGCUUAACCUCGAGCCUGCAUUCGAUACUGGGCGGCUAGAGUCUGGUAGGGGGAUCUGGAAUUCCUGGUGUAGCGGUGGAAUGCGCAGAUAUCAGGAGGAACACCGGUGGCGAAGGCGGGAUCCUGGGCCAGUACUGACGCUGAGCCGCGAAAGCCAGGGGAGCGAACGGG
rnacentral:rRNA from 1 species